ensembl:lncRNA
GAGAGAAAUGAGGGAGAUAGAAAAAUCUGAGGUAAAUAGGUUGAUAUUUCAUACGUUGACUCAUCCCAGGAUCAAACAGAGGUAAAUAGGUUGAUAUUUCAUACGUUGACUCAUCCCAGGAUCAAACAGAGGUAAAUAGGUUGAUAUUUCAUACGUUGACUUAUCCCGGGAUCAAACAGAGUUAAAUAGGUUGAUAUUUCAUACGUUGACUCAUCCCAGGAUCAAACAGAGUUAAAUAGGUUGAUAUUUCAUACGUUGACUCAUCCCAGGAUCAAACAGAGGUAAAUAGGUUGAUAUUUCAUACGUUGACUCAUCCCAGGAUCAAACAGAGGUAAAUAGAUUGAUAUUUCAUACGUUGACUCAUCCCGGGAUCAAACAGAGUUAAAUAG